rnacentral:snRNA from 1 species
CGGACAAGGGGAAUCCGACUGU